rnacentral:rRNA from 1 species
AUUGCACAAUGGGCGCAAGCCUGAUGCAGCAACGCCGCGUGCGGGAUGACGGCCUUCGGGUUGUAAACCGCUUUCAGUAGGGACGAAGCGUGAGUGACGGUACCUACAGAAGAAGGACCGGCUAACUACGUGCCAGCAGCCGCGGUGAUACGUAGGGUCCGAGCGUUGUCCGGAAUUAUUGGGCGUAAAGGGCUUGUAGGCGGUCCGUCGCGUCAGGAGUGAAAACUCAGGGCUUAACCCUGAGCCUGCUUUUGAUACGGGCGGACUAGAGGGAUGCAGGGGAGAACGGAAUUCCUGGUGGAGCGGUGGAAUGCGCAGAUAUCAGGAGGAACACCGGUGGCGAAGGCGGUUCUCUGGGCAUUACCUGACGCUGAGAAGCGAAAGCGUGGGGAGCAAACAGGCUUAGAUACCCUGGUAGUCCACGCCGUAAACGGUGGGCACUAGGUGUGGGGGACAUUCCACGUUCUCCGUGCCGAAGCUAACGCAUUAAGUGCCCCGCCU